rnacentral:rRNA from 1 species
UGCCAGCCGCCGCGGUAAUACGGAGGGGGUUAGCGUUGUUCGGAAUUACUGGGCGUAAAGCGCACGUAGGCGGACUGGAAAGUUGGGGGUGAAAUCCCAGGGCUCAACCCUGGAACUGCCUCCAAAACUAUCAGUCUAGAGUUCGAGAGAGGUGAGUGGAAUUCCGAGUGUAGAGGUGAAAUUCGUAGAUAUUCGGAGGAACACCAGUGGCGAAGGCAGCUUACUGGCUUGAUAUUGACGCUGAGGUGCGAAAGCGUGGGGAGCAAACAGGAUUAGAUA